rnacentral:rRNA from 1 species
GAUGAACGCUGGCGGCGUGCCUAAUACAUGCAAGUCGAGCGAACGGACGAGAAGUUUGCUUCUCUGAUGUUAGCGGCGGACGGGUGAGUAACACGUGGAUAACCUACCUAUAAGACUGGGAUAACUUCGGGAAAGCGGAGCUAAUACCGGAUGAUAUUUUGAACCGCAUGGUUCAAAAGUGAAAGACGGUCUUGCUGUCACUUAUAGAUGGAUCCGCGCUGCAUUAGCGAGUUGGUAAGGUAACGGCUUACCAGGGCAACGAUGCAUAGCCGACCUGAGAGGGUGUAGGGCCACACUGAGACUGGAACGCGGUCCUGACACCGACGGGAGGCAGCGGUACGGACUCGUCGGAGAUGGGCGAAAGCCUGACGGAGCAACGCCGCGUGAGUGAUGAAGGGCUUCGGAUCGUAAAACUCUGUUAUGAGGGAAGAACAUUUGUGUAAGUAACUGUGCUCAUCUUGACGGUACCUAAUCAGAAAGCCACGGCUAACUACGUG